GCUUAAUCUUAGAUAAAUAAUAAUUUAAAUUUUAAUAAUAUAAAAAUUUACUGUGAAUCUUUGAUUAUAUUGGGGCGAUAGAAGUAAAAAAUUAGUAACUGCUUAUAACUUUCAGACAAAUAUAAGUGAAUUUAAAUAAAAGAUCCAUUAUAAUGAUUACAAGAAUAAGUU
rnacentral:rRNA from 1 species